GUAGGUGGCAAGCGUUGUCCGGAAUUAUUGGGCGUAAAGCGCGCGCAGGUGGUUCUUUAAGUCUGAUGUGAAAGCCCCCGGCUCAACCGGGGAGGGUCAUUGGAAACUGGGGAACUUGAGUGCAGGAGAGGAAAGUGGAAUUCCACGUGUAGCGGUGAAAUGCGUGGAUAUGUGGAGGAACACCAGUGGCGAAGGCGACUUUCUGGCCUGUAACUGACACUGAGGCGCGAAAGCGUGGGGAGCAAACAGGGAUUAGAUACCCUGGUAGUCCACGCCGUAAACGAUGAGUGCUAAGUGUUGGGGGGGUUUCCGCCCCCUCAGUGCUGCAGCUAACGCAUUAAGCACUCCGCCUGGGAGUACGGUCGCAAGACUG
rnacentral:rRNA from 1 species